AUGUGAUUAAACAUCGUGAUACAGAGAUUGCAUAUCUCAUUGGUAAACCAUACACUUUCUGCGUCAGUUAAGUGAUAUUGAAUUACAUUUAUUUCCGUUUCUGGUGAUGAUGGAUGCAUUUCGGUUUCUAGUUUUGUGUUUUUUACAGCUUCCAUUGGCACUGACAGAAACCAAAGUUCGGUUGUUUGGUGGGAACUUUGUCUUUGGCUUUGUGGAGAUCUGGCAAGAUGGACAAUGGAGAGUCCUUUGUAGUGAAUUCGACGCAAAUUUCAUGAUAUACAAUCCGCGAACACCAACAGAAAUUGCAAAUGUUAUUUGUGGGAUGCUGCGAAACUCCACCAGAAACACAACAAAUGCUAUCUUGACAACCGGUGAGCCUAGGAACGAGUUCAUGACGAGCGCUAUUGCAAUGCCUAAUCUACGAUGUCAUGGCGACGAAAUCGACAUUUUGUUCUGCAAGU